rnacentral:rRNA from 1 species
CACGUAGGGUGCAAGCGUUGUCCGGAAUUAUUGGGCGUAAAGAGCUCGUAGGCGGUCUGUUGCGUCGGCUGUGAAAACCCGGGGCUCAACCCCGGGCCUGCAGCCGAUACGGGCAGACUAGAGUUCGGCAGGGGAGACUGGAAUUCUCGGUGUAGCAGUGAAAUGCGCAGAUAUCAGGAGGAACACCGGUGGCGAAGGCGGGUCUCUGGGCCGAUACUGACGCUGAGGAGCGAAAGCGUGGGGAGCAAACAGG